rnacentral:lncRNA from 1 species
GAAAAUAGCUCACAUGCAUUUCUGUGCCUGGCAGCAACCAUCAACAUCCAAUAACUUCUCAGGUGUUGGUAGGAUCUUGUGAAAUCCUCUCCUCUUCGAGAUGAUUUGUUUUUCCAGAAAAGUCUUUUUAGUAUCAUUAGAAGACCUAAGACCACCUGUCUUACGUCUUACAUCUUUAAUUCAAGAAUAAAUUCCUUCCACAUCUCUGUUUCUGAAAUAGGUACUUGACAUACAAAUGUGUUCAAAAAUGACAAGUAUUUCCAAUAUUCAGCAAGCUGUCUUUACUAUUAAAGCCCCACUUCAGUUAACUUUUAUAUGCAUAUAUCCAUCAAGAUAUACUUAUUUGUCUGUACCAAUAAAAUACACAGAAAUGGGGCUAUCAGCACAGAUACUCAUAUAGACCCAUGUCUGUAUGUUAUCAUAAAUCCAAAUUUCCAUUAGCAAGAGAUAACUAUAUCAAAUUAUUUAUGUAUACCUAUACCUUGGUACCUUGGAGAGGUCAAAUAUUGUCACAACAGAAAAGAUAAAGAAAAACUAUCCAAGAACUACAAAGUCUUUGCAACCCAUGUCUCAUAUCUUGAGAUGCAGUUCUAUCAAUCAAUUUCCAUGCUACUUUCUUUGUGGCUCUAGCAAAAUGUUUUAAAAAUUGUAUUUAAAACAUAUUGAAGAGUAAAAAGUAAAUAACACAUUUACAGAUUUUUUUUUUCUGCAUCUGUUUUGAUUCAAGGUCUUUUGCAACCUAGAUGCCUUUCAACUGGAAGCUGACCUUGAACUCCUCCUAUCUCCUUGGUCCCUCCAAUCCUGAAUUAAAUGCCUACCUCACAAUAUUCAAGUAGUAUAUAUGUAUAUUUUAAGACAACUUUUCUUCUAUCUUUAGGAAUAAGUAGGGAAUUUUAGUUUUCCUAUAUAUUUUAGUGGAAUAUUUGAGUAUUUUGUGUUUUAAGGUUUUUCUGCUACAUUUUUACUUUUAUAAGUUUUCAUGCAAUAUAUUUUGAUGAUAGUCUUUCCUUUACCUUGAAUUCUACUAAGUCCUUCCUAUUUCCUUACUGACACAAAGUCAUGUUUUGUUUUCAUUCUCUUUUUAAAAAAGAAAAAAGCUACCACAAAACCAAGAAGAUAAAAGUCAUAACGAGUUAAGGCACAUAGACAAAGCAUUUUAACUGACUAUUUCUGAACAAAAGGCCGACCCUGAAAUGUGGUUGAUGUACUCAGUUGAUAUUUCCAUUGAAGAAAACUGAAUUUUCUUUUAUUCAUCAAGCAUCUUCUACACCAUUUUCAACUCUUAUUAAUACUGGUAAUUUUUAAAAAAAGGAAAGAAUUUCUACAGUAUGCUGGUCACUUUUUUUGUCAACUCAAGACAAACUAGAGACACUAGGGAAGAGAAAAUCUCUAUUAAAGAAUUGCCUUCAUAGGAAUGGCCUCUGUACAGACAUGCCACUCCUACAUAGUACGACUUGAACUGUAUAAGAAAAAUACCAGAUGAUAAAGCCAGAGGAAGUAACACCAGAUAAAGCCAGAGGAAGUGACCAGGUAGGAAAGUCCUCCUUGGCCUCUCUGUGCUUUUCAGUUCCUGCCUGCUUGAGUUUAUGUUUUCACAGCCCUCAGUGAUACUAUGGCUACUGGGAAGAUGAAGCACAUCUACUUUUCAUGAUUCUUUUGUCAGUGGCAUGUAUCAAAACAACAGAAAGCAUACUAGGAGACAGAAGAGACCAGGACCCUGGAGGAGAGAAAGAAGAAAGCAGAACAAGGGAACUGUGGUCCUGCACAGAGAGACAGUGGCAAAGCAAGCCUGUGAAACACACCUAGUGUGAGUACCAUUGUUCACAUAGUAUUAUGUUAACUGUGCUAUAUACCUCUUCCACUAGCAUUCUCUCUUAUAGUUCAAUGCUUCUAUCCAAAAUCAUUUUCCCUCCAUGAAAAGGAGAGCUAGCCAUAUAUUCUAAUUAAAUCAACUGGUAAGUUCUUAGCUUGCAUGAAAAUGUCUUUGUUUCAUCUUUGUUUGAGAAUAUUUUUUAUCUACAUGGGCAACUAAGUUGGCUAUUAUUUCUUUCACCAUUACCCAGGCAUUCUGUUUUCCGCCGGCUUGCAUCCUUCGUGUGAAAUUCAUUCUCUCUCUCUCUCUCUCUCUCUCUCUCUCUCUCUCUCUCUCUCUCUCUCCCUCUCUCUCUCUCUGUUUUUUUUUUAUAAUUAUUAUUUUACUUUCAGGAGAAUGGAUUUUGCCCUUGAUGUAUUUAAGCUCUUGGAUUUCUCAAAUCCAUCACUUUCUUCAGUCUUGGAAAGUCUCACCAUUUCUUUUCAGUCUUGACUCAUGCUUAACUUGAUUCUUAAUUUCAGUUAGUUGAAUUUUCACUGAGAAAAUAUGUUCCCAAGAUUAACCACAGCUCUCUGAUAACAUUCAUAUAACAAGAGGCAAUAUUUGACCAGCAAGUUGUGAUCAAGAUGAUGCCCAGUUGUCCCUGUUCUCCGUGUCUGGGCCCUGUGUGAAUAUGUUUCUUUGUUCACCACCAACCCCCUGAUCCCUGGACCCAUAUUUCUAGACAUUGGAUACUGAUGAUUCAAAGACAGGUAUUCCUCUUUGGGUAAUUUUUUAAAUUAAAUUCCAGAUUUUGGCAUUAUAUUUCAUAGUCAUAAUCCUAGCAUUUGAGGCCCAGAAGGAUGGUCCAAGCUUGAGAUCCAUCCCAUGAGAGAAAGAGUUCCUGACACUAUUAAUGAUAUUCUGCUAUGUUUCCAAAUAGGAGGAUAACACAACUGUCUUCUGAGAGGCUUUGUCCAGAAGCUGAUGGAAACAGAUUCACACAUCUAAACAAUAAACUGACCUCAGGGAGUCUUGUGGAAGAGUGGGAGGAAGGAUUGACAGAGCUAGAGGUAUUAAGGGCACUACAGGAAGAUCUACAGAAUAAACUAACCUGGACCCCUGGGCAUUCAUAGAGAUUGAACCACCAACCAAUGAGCAUAAGCCUCCUACAGAGAUAUAGGAGAUGUACAACUUGGUCUUCAUGUAGAUCCCCUAACUAUUGGAGUGUGGAGUGUCUCUGACUUUGUAGCCCACAUUAAGAUGCCUUUCCCAUAGCCAGGCUGCCUUGUCUGGGCUCAGUGGGAGAGGAUACACCUAGUACUGCUUUGAUGAAGUAAGACAGGGUGGUAGCCAUGGAGGAUUUCCCCUUCUCUGGGGAAAAAGGGAUUGGGGGGUUAGGGUAAAGGAACUGGGAGAAUGGUACUGGGAAGAGAGAGGAGCUAUGAUCAGGAUGUAAAGUGAAUAAGUAAAUUAAUGAUAAAAUAAAAAGAAAGUUCAAGGCUAUAUAGCAAAACUAUCUCAACAAACAGAACAUCAACAAUAACAAAACAGAGGACAGAAAAAUAAACGCUCAUCCCUUUAAUUCAGACAAGUUUUCUUUAGUGCUUGUGGCAUCUCCUGUGAUCCCUGUAAACUUCUCAGGGAAUGGAAAUCUUUGAAAGGAUCAUCGAGAGUCUCCAUGCUCACCUUCUUGAUGAACCCUAAUUAUCCAUGUUGCUGUCAGUUCAUGCCUUUAACUGAUGGCUCCUUCAGCUUCUCACCUGAUGUAGUUGAGGUGCUGAAAUUGUCUUUAAGGGAAAGAAUCAAAGAACUUGGGUGGUCCUCCAAGCUGUUUUGCCUUCUAGGGAAUCUGAGGUCCCUAAUCUUUGUGCAUAAUACUGCUCAAAUCACAGAUGAGCAAUUGGCUUGUGUGUGAUUUUCCAAUUCAUCUUUAUUUGAUCUAAGUUUUACUAACACAUGAAAGAUCUUUGUUCUAAGUUAGAGAUCCCCAUUGUUUCUGUAUUCGCAGUGACUGAGAUCAGCAAGGAUUAUGAGGACAUUUACUUUUGAGUGUCUCUGUAAUUUUGUUUCCUUAUACCAUUCAUUUUAAGACUAUAAAUGGCCUACACUUUAUGAAGAUAGAUUAAUACAAAGGUCCAGAUACUUCAAGGGACUAUUACUGGAUUAUCUAGGCCUUCCUGUUUUAAACAUCGACAUUACACAAAAGCAUCUUGAGUAAUUAUUUCUUUACAUUGAUUAUUAUUUAAUUCAAAUAAGCUAAAUGUUAAACAAAUAUUAAUUUCUUGUUACUAUGUAGCCAUAGCUAUUUUAAGUGCUAAGGUUAGUUGUAUAUGAAAGAUGCUAAUAAGAACAUACAGAAAUAUGACAGAAAUGAUAGAUGACUGGUAGCUAAAGAUAGAUAGAUGAUUGAUAGAUAGAUACAUAGAUACAUAGAUAAACAAGUGGUAGAUAGACAGAUGGUAGAGAGAUGAAUGAUUCAUGAGAGAGAGAGAGAGAGAGAGAGAGAGAGACAUUUCACCUUCUUCCUACUAAACCAAUACUCAGGUUGAUUUGUAAAAAGUAGUAAGCGUGAGAAAUCAGAGAAGAAAUAAAUGUGAAUUGCAUUAUGAUGAUUAUAAGUUUUAGGAUAAUGUAAUGACAUAAUAAAGAUUCACAGGGUAAGAGAAACUAUCUAAAUGAGGUGUUACAUCUAUUAUUGUGAUAGAGUUAUUUGCCACCAAAAUUUCUAUUAAGAUUAGUUAGUCUCAUAUGUUUUAUGAUUUCCUAAGGGGAAAGUGCUCAUUUAUUCAACAUGUUUAUUCCUCCAAUGUAUCAUAAUCACCAUUACAAGUCCUACUACAGACACUAUAUACACAUGUCCAUGCAGAAAAAAAAAAAUAAAGCCAAUGAAUAACCUCUGAAAACAAAUUCUCUUUUUAUGAGGGAACCAUUCUCAAGCAAACAAGAGAUUAGAGACACUUGCUAUUACAAACAUUUGUGUUUUUAUGUAAACUUUAAACAGAAUGAGCUUGAUUUCCAGGAGGAAACUCGGCCAUGCUUUGUUGUGUUGUUGGAGUUCUGCUGUUUUAUCUAAAGGUAUUAAAGGAUUCAAUUAUCCUAAGUCAUUUUUAAGAUUACAUGCUUUCCAGUUGCACAUUUAUUUAUGAUCUUACUCUGAAGCCAGCCAGCAAGAAUAAUACAUCACUGAAAUGCUUUCUUUAUAAGCAACAGUAAGAUCAUGCUGUCUGAACACUAGAUGGUUUAUGAAAAAAAAAACAGAACAACAUGGUUUUGUGAUAAAGCCAUUAUUUUAAAUGUGAAAUAUCAGUUCAUUCUGAAACAUAAUUAGGCAAGAGAACAUUGUGAAUAUCAUUUAAAUGUCUGCAUUAAUACAAUUUUAUGCUACAUUCUAUAGCACAAAAGUAAGAUGAAAUCUACGAAUGUAUUUAAUAAAUACCUACAAAUCACAAAAAGCAGCAUCAUGCUUUAAGAACCCAAUAAAAUAUAUUAAAUACCACUUAAAGUCUACUUGGUGGAAAUAACAACCAGUUAAAAAGUAUAUUGUGAGGCAGUGGAUAUGACAAUAGGAACAAAAUAAUAGUAAUGAAGAAGAGAGGGGAUGGUGAGAUGGCUCAGCGGUAAAGAUCACCAAUUGCUCUUCCAAAGGUCCUGAGUUCAAAUCCAGCAACCACAUGGCGGCUCACAACCACCCGUAAUCAGAUUUGACACUCUUUUCUGGUGUGUCUGAAGACAACUACAGUGUACUUAUAUAUAAUAGUAAAUAAAUAUUUGGGCCAGAGUGAGCAGAGGUCCUGAGCUCAAUUCCCAGCAACCACAUGAUGGCUCACAACCAUCUGUACAGCUACAGUUUGCUCUUAUAUGUAAAAAUUAAUAAAGAAAUCUUAAAAAAAAGAAGAAGAAGAGUGGAACCUUAUAAAGAGGUGGAGUCAUCUGUGAGGACAUCCUAAACUUCUGAAAGGACAAAGGAAAGCUAAAACACUUAAGGUUCUGGUAUACUAUCUUAUUGUUCAGCUUGAGAGGAAACCAACACCUUGCACAUGUUAAUCCUGUACUCCACAAUGAGCCACAUGCCCAACUCAGUUCUAUUACAUGUUUGUACAUCAAAACCUAAAACAUAUAUUAUUAUCACAAUAGUCACAAUAAUUUUAGGAUAGUGUAAAAACAUUUCAACCUUUGUUAAAAUAUUCCCCAUUAUAAAGCUAAGAAUAUAACAAGAGAAUGCUAUAUGCUUCUAAUAAAAGGAAAUAAGAUAGUAAUCACAUACUGCAUCUAUGUCUAAAUCCAUGAGGCUGUUUUCCCACUUUAUAAAGAAUUUCAAUUUAAAUGAGAAAAAAAUGAAUUACUCAAUAAAUUAAAUAAUGGCAAUAUUUAAACCAUUUUUAAAAUUAACUUUGAAUUCCUAUCUGACAUAUAAUAAAUUUCAGAUGAGCCAAAGAAUUAAUGUUGAUAAAACAACUGUAAAAUGUUAGGAAACACAACAUGAAACACAAAUCAUUCAGUACUGGUUUAUAACUUCGGAAUGAUGAAGGUCAUGUAAGGAUGGUACAAAAUUCCAGAAGACUUAUGAUAAUGUAUUAAUAAAUUCAAGUUUGCUAAAUCACAAUAUUUCUUAUUAAAGACAUAAAUCCAAGAACACAUGAGAAACUAUAAAUACAUUUUUUCAGAUUUUUUCAAAUAUUUCAUUUAUUUACAUUUCAAGUAUUAUGCCCUUUGAAGUUUCCCCUCCAGAAAACCCCUAUCCCAUCCUCCCUCUCCCUGCUUCUAUGAGGAUGCUCACCCACCCACCUACCCACCUACUCCUGCCUCACUGCUGGCAUUCUCUUACAGUGUGGCAUCGAGCCUUCACCGGACCAAAGGCCUCUCCUCUCACUGAUGUCCAACAAGGCCAUCCUCUGCUACAUAUGUGGCUGGAGCCAUGAGUUCCUCCAUGUAUACUCUUUGGUUGGUGGUUUAGUCCCUGGGAGCUCUGUGGAGGUCUUGUUGGUUGAUAGUGUUGUUCUUCCUAUGGGUUGCAUACCCCUUCAGCUUCUUCAGUCCUUUCUCCAACUCCCCCAUUGGGGAUUCCAUGCUCAGUCCAAUGGUUUGGCUGUGAGCAUCCACCUCUGUAUUUGUCAGACUCUGGCAGAGCCUAAUUCAUAUCACAAAGUGCUAAUUUUCUUAAUGUGUAAACAUUUCAGUCAUCACUAAAGAAUCAAAGUUAUGAAACAUUUGAAGUCUGUGGAAAGGCAGUUCAUAGAAGAUUAAAUAAAAAAUUAUCUUUUUAAAGUGAUGGCACGAUUAGAUGAACAUUAUACAUAAUAAGGGAAAUGGAAAAUGAAGAGUUAUAUUGAUAGUUUUUCCUUACACAUCCUGGCAAACAAAAUUGUUUGCUAACACGGAACUUCAAACUCACCACAGAAAAUGGACAUUGGUACAACUUCAUGGGAAACAACUUGCUACUACUUAUAAAACUUUUAUUAUAUGUUUAAAACACUGUUAUUCCUUACUUCUAUCCAUACUUCACUAUUGAUAAUAUAGGCUACAUAAAAAUACAUACAUGUAUAAAGUAGCCAUGUUUAAUUUUCUUCAUGUUUUCUAUUUCCUAUUGCAAACACUUGGAAGGAAUCCUGUUUACAACACUAAGGAAUAGAUAAUAGUAAAAAGUCACAACCAGAUAUAACGGCACGCACCGUUAGUGCAAAGGCAGGGGUGCCUCUGAUUUAGAAGGUAUUGUGCUUUACAUUGAGAGGGCCAUGCCAGUAAGGACUUCACAGUGAGACCCUUAAAAAAGGUAAAGAAAGGAAAAGAAAAAAAAAGAAAGGAAAGGAAAAAUGGUGAGUCCAAUUUAUAUAAUAACAAUAAAGCAGUACUUAAUACACAUUAAGAAAUGAAAGAUCUCUAUAAUAUUUUAUGGGACUAUAUAUUACGAGAAAUUUAUUUUCAUAAAUUUUUAUAAUAGAUUGAAUCAUGAUUGAGAUUUAUAUGUUGAAGCCCCUAGCUCAAGUACUUUCAGAAUCUAAUUAUAACCAGAGAAGGGAGCUCUCAAGGGGUAAUUAAGAGAAAAGGAAGUCAUGAGUAGACAUGAGUCUAGUGUGAUUGCUGUCCUUAUAUGAAGAGGUAAUAUGAAAAUAGAACAAACAUUAUGAAUGGCACCACUGUGGUGAGCACUUAUGGAGACCUUUAUCUGAAAGCAAAGGAGAACCUCCCCAGAAAAUACCAGGCGUUCUCACUCCUUGAACCUGAUUUUUAUCUAGCAAAGCUGUGGGGACAUAGGUAACGUUUUGUUGUUGUUGUUGUUUGUUUUAUGUUUUUUUUUUUGUUUUUUUUAAUGCCUGAUACGUAUGUUGGAUGAGAGUUCUUAUGGUGACUCUAUCGGAUUAACAUAUGACCUUUCAUGUAAACACUAAACUUAUGUGAGUGUAUGUAUGUGUUUCAUUGAAAGUUUUUAAAAAUCCAUCCUGCAGGGUAGUUAAGCAGAUUGGAUGUGGUGGUAUCUCUGGUUAGAAUGCAAGACAUCUGGAAUGAGAAACAUCCUUGACUCUGGAAGGGUUUCAGAAGCAUCUCAGGUCUGUUUCUUAACAUGUAACCUGUAUAUGGUACCAACAGUGCCACCAGCUAGCCAUAGAACACCUCAGCUAGAGGCUCACGGUGCAAUGUGAAAACCAAAUGUCACUACAGAUGAGCACAUAGUGACUAUUGCAUUGUUUGAGGCUUUACGUGCACAAAAGUGAUAAAAACUGGAAAUCUGAGAACAUCUUUACCUAACCAAAUGAUUAGUACUAUUCCAUAAAGACUGGGUUCAAAAGAUGAUGAGGCUGCAAACAUUAGUCCUGUCCCAAUCAAGGAAGUACAGUUAAGCUGUAAUUCUAUUGAUUGUGAGCAGAUGGUAUAAAGUUAUCCAACAUGGAAAGAGAAGUAACAGGAAUCUUCUAUUUUAUUUCUGUCUUCCCUGUCAAAGAGAAUGAUCUUCAGGCUGGAAAGAGUAGAAAAUAUAUUGGAUAUAGGGAAUUGAAACUGAAAGAUAUGUGAAGAGAUUGCAAGAGUGCACCCAGCAACUGAAAAUGAAUCCAAUUUUCAUUGGAUUCUGAGGUAAAUUCUAAGGUACUGGGAGAACUGGUACCUGCGAGCCUUUGGCUACCAUCAGUAAUCAUUAGGUGUUAUUAGGAAAGAGGAAACAUUGUCUCUGCUUCAAAACGUGUACAGAGGUUCCCUCUAUAAAACAUAAAUGAGUGUUUCUUUUCCUUCUAUCCUUUUGUAUCUCAGGCUGGUUAUGUAAUUCAAGAAUUUUAGGGCAGUACUCUGUACAAAAUAAUGGACUGAUUGAUAGGGUGGAAUCUUAUAGCAAAUAAGUUAACACUAAUGAACCACAUUGGGGCAAUGAAUAGAUGACAGGCAGCAGUCAGAUUGGUGCAUUGCUUUUCUCUGCACUACUAGAUUGCUCUGCCCCAUCUCUCUUCCUUUUAUUCAUUCAUUUUUAUAUUACUUUAUAUUUACCCCUACAAGCAUUUAUUUUUACCUCAGGUUUGUUUGAAAUUGCAUAGAUUAUAGACAUAGUCAGGAAAUGUACAAGUCAGCUAAUAUUCUUGAGCAUUGUGUUAGUACUUUCUUAUGGAUGUAACAGUGAAUAAGGGGAGCACCGUCCUUAAUACUGCAAUAGCUGCAUCUCAGCAAAGGCAACAGAUUUUUGAAGCAAUCAGUUGCUGCUGUACCUUUCCUAUUGGAGGAGUUUUGUACCAGUGAUCUUACGGAAGGUUGCCUAUGAGGAUUUUUGAUAUGUUUAUAUACACAGGAACAUAACUGAUCUCUGGAAGGUUCUGUGAUGUGAACUGAUAAAAAUAUUCUUGAUAGAGUAUGCUAUGUCAGAAAGCAGAGAGAACUAAAGGGUUAUACAGCAGCAGAACUAAUCUAAUCUAUAUUAUCAGGCACAAGAUUUGAUCUAGCAAAAGUGACAUCAUCCUGCUUAAGCUGUGAAGAUGAGGAAAGGAACUGGUAGAAAAAAAUAAAUACUAAUAUUUGAAGAUAGAACAACCAGGUGACUGCCAAGUUCUAGAGGCAAGAUUCGGGUUCUAGAAAUGUACUGACUAAAGCACAGACUUGAAGAGGUAUGACCCUAUGCAACUUCAGGGGCUAGCAAAUUGAUGAGCCUUCAGGGAAUGUUGUAAAGGCCAUGAAAUUACCAAGAAACAGUUUGUAUUCUAUUCGUUGAAUAAUGGAUGUAAAUAUAGAUUCUUAGUGCUGCAGUGCAACAAUACACACACACACACACACACACACACACACACACACAUAUAUAUAUAUAUAUACAUAUAUAUGUAUAUGUAUAUAUAUAUAUAUAUAUAUAUAUAUUUAAGCAAGACUUUUUAGAUGGGAGAAUGAACAGGAGGGGCUCCAUCUGGAGACAAGAAGCCUGAUGGGAAAUCUAUCUCCAUGGUAAGAAUAUUGGUGCUUUUCUGAGUAGUAAUAUGGGAGGAAUGAUGGCUACGAUCUGUUUUUAAUGUCAUAUUGGUAGCAGCCUGAGAUCUAUAGCAUCGGAAAAUAAUAAAGAAACAGUCGUGAUAAAUGUCUAAGCUUCCAGCUGGCUAACUUGUAUGAUGUACAUACCAUUUAGAGAGCAGAAUCACUGGGCCCUGGCAAGAAUUUUUUUAGAGUGGAUAAGGAAUUCACUGUGUUGUUCAGGAGAGAUCAAACAACAUUGUGCAAAUGAAUCCAUUUUAAGCUUUUUCUUAAGGAGUAUGUGGAUAGUGUAAUACAAAAUAAACAUAUGUAUGACCACAUUUACUGUUGUGGUUUGAACAGCAAAUGACCUUCAUUGGCUUGUGUGUUUGAACACAUGGUUGCCAGCUGGUGACAUUAUUUGGGAAGGUAAUAAGACCUGGUGAUGGUAGAGUCUUGCUAGAGAAAGUACUUCACUCAUGGCAGGC